UACAGAGGGUGCGAGCGUUAAUCGGAAUACUGGGCGUAAAGCGUGCGCAGGCGGUUUUGUAAGCCAGAUGUGAAAUCCCCGGGCUUAACCUGGGAAUGGCAUUUGGGACUGCAAGGCUGGAGUUUGGCAGAGGAGACUGGAAUUCCUGGUGUAGCAGUGAAAUGCGUAGAUAUCAGGAGGAAUACCGAUGGCGAAGGCAGGUCUCUGGGCUAUAACUGACGCUCAUGCACGAAAGCGUGGGGAGCAAACAGGG
rnacentral:rRNA from 1 species